GCACAGAGUUAGCCGGUGCUUAUUCUGUCGGUAACGUCAAAACAGCAACGUAUUAAGUUACUGCCCUUCCUCCCAACUUAAAGUGCUUUACAAUCCGAAGACCUUCUUCACACACGCGGCAUGGCUGGAUCAGGCUUUCGCCCAUUGUCCAAUAUUCCCCA
rnacentral:rRNA from 1 species